ACGACAAACGCCGUGCAACCAAUAAUCAGUGACAUAACUCAAGCCCGUCUUUAUAUAGUUUUAAUAAACUGUCUGUAUACUUACAAAGGUCUCAAUGCUUCAGUUUACAUGUAGGGAUCCUCAUUAUACUACCGUGGAAGUGUGGUACUAUUUUGAGCCUUGUUAGUGGUAUAGAAAUA